rnacentral:tRNA from 1 species
CCCUUGGUAGUCUAGUUGGUUAUGGCGUUCGGCUGUAAUUGUAAACGUGAUUGUUACCGAAAAGUCACCGGUUCGAUUCCGGUCCGAGGGA